rnacentral:rRNA from 1 species
CCUACGUGUGGCAGCAGUAGGGAAUCUUCCACAAUGGGCGAAAGCCUGAUGGAGCAACGCCGCGUGGGUGAAGAAGGUCUUCGGAUCGUAAAACCCUGUUGUUAGAGAAGAAAGUGCGUGAGAGUAACUGUUCACGUUUCGACGGUAUCUAACCAGAAAGCCACGGCUAACUACGUGCCAGCAUCCGCGGUAAUACGUAGGUGGCAAGCGUUAUCCGGAUUGAUUGGGCGUAAAGGGAACGCAGGCGGUCUUUUAAGUCUGAUGUGAAAGCCUUCGGCUUAACCGGAGUAGUGCAUUGGAAACUGGGAGACUUGAGUGCAGAAGAGGAGAGUGGAACUCCAUGUGUAGCGGUGAAAUGCGUAGAUAUAUGGAAGAACACCAGUGGCGAAAGCGGCUCUCUGGUCUGUAACUGACGCUGAGGUUCGAAAGCGUGGGUAGCAAACAGGAUUAGAUACCCUUGUAGUC